GACGAACGCUGGCGGCGUGCUUAACACAUGCAAGUCGAGCGGUAAGGCCCUUUCGGGGGUACACGAGCGGCGAACGGGUGAGUAACACGUGGGUGACCUGCCCUUAGCUCUGGGAUAAGCCUGGGAAACUGGGUCUAAUACCGGAUAUGACUCCAUGACGCAUGUUGUGGGGUGGAAAGCCUUGUGCGGCUAGGGGAUGGGCCCCGCGGCCUAAUCAGCUUGUUGGUGGGGUGAUGGCCUACCAAGGCGACGACGGGUAGCCGGCCUGAGAGGGCGACCGGCCACACUGGGACUGAGACACGGCCCAGACUCCUACGGGAGGCAGCAGUGGGAAUCUUGCGCAAUGGGCAAAAGCCUGACGCAGCGACGCCGCGUGGGGA
rnacentral:rRNA from 1 species